UACGUAGGGUGCGAGCGUUAAUCGGAAUUACUGGGCGUAAAGCGUGCGCAGGCGGUUCGCCAAGUCAGGUGUGAAAUCCCCGGGCUUAACCUGGGAACUGCGUUUGAAACUGGGGAGCUGGAGUGUAGAAGAGGGGGGUGGAAUUCCAGGUGUAGCAGUGAAAUGCGUAGAUAUCUGGAGGAACACCGGUGGCGAAGGCGGCGUUCUGGACUGCAACUGACACUGAGGAACGAAAGCCAGGGGAGCAAACGGG
rnacentral:rRNA from 1 species